rnacentral:tRNA from 2 species
AAAGGAUUAGUUAAUAUUAUAACAUCAGAAUGUCAAACUGAAGUAAUCAACAAAUGAUACCCUUUU